rnacentral:rRNA from 1 species
UACGUAGGGGGCAAGCGUUGUCCGGAUUUAUUGGGCGUAAAGAGCGUGUAGGCGGCCAGACAGGUCCGUUGUGAAAACUCGAGGCUCAACCUCGAGACGUCGAUGGAAACCGUCUGGCUAGAGUCCGGAAGAGGAGAGUGGAAUUCCUGGUGUAGCGGUGAAAUGCGCAGAUAUCAGGAAGAACACCCGUGGCUAAGGCGGUUCUCUAGUACGGUACUGACGCUGAGACGCGAAAGCGUGGGGAGCGAACAGG